ensembl:snRNA U2 U2 spliceosomal RNA
UUCGUUGCGCCACAGUGCCGGCCCCAGUAUCUGUUCUUAUCAGUUUAAUAUUUGAUACGUCCUCUAUGUGAGGACAAUAUAUUAAAUGGAUUUUCAGAGCAGGGAGAUGGAAUAUGAGCUUGCUCCAUCCAUUCUAUGCAUGGACCUGGUAUUGCCGAAUGUUUAAAAAAGGGAAAUCACA